rnacentral:rRNA from 1 species
AUUGAACGCUGGCGGCAGGCCUAACACAUGCAAGUCGAACGAUUUGCGGACGGGUGAGUAAUGUCUGGGAAAACGCCCGAUGGAGGGGGAUAACUACUGGAAACGGUAGCUAAUACCGCAUACGCUCGGAUGUGCCCAGAUGGGAUGAGCUUGUAGGUGAGGUAACGGCUCACAUAGGCGACGAUCCGUAGCUGGUCUGAGAGGAUGACCAGCCAAACUGGAACGGAGACACGGUCCAGAACGUGACGUGAGGCAGAAUGUGGGAAUAUUGCACAAGGGGCUCAAGCCUGAUGCAGCCAUGCCGCGGGUAUGAAGAAGGCUGUCGGGUUGUAAAGUACUUUCAGCGGGGAGGCGUUACCCGCAGAAGAAGCACCGGCUAACUCCGUGCCAGCAGCCGCGGUAAUGC